GCCUCGGUAGUCUAAUUGGCUAAGACAUUUGAGCGUAAAGCAAGGUAUGCGGGUUCGACUCCCGGCCGAGGUA
rfam:Cyphomyrmex costatus contig13975, whole genome shotgun sequence.